rnacentral:rRNA from 1 species
GAUGAACGCUGGCGGCGUGCUUAACACAUGCAAGUCGAACGGAAAGGCUCCUGCUUGCAGGGGUACUCGAGUGGCGAACGGGUGAGUAACACGUGGGUGAUCUGCCCUGCACUUCGGGAUAAGCCUGGGAAACUGGGUCUAAUACCGGAUAGGACGAUGGUUUGGAUGCCAUUGUGGAAAGUUUUUCGGUGUGGGAUGAGCUCGCGGCCUAUCAGCUUGUUGGUGGGGUAAUGGCCUACCAAGGCGUCGACGGGUAGCCGGCCUGAGAGGGUGUACGGCCACAUUGGGACUGAGAUACGGCCCAGACUCCUACGGGAGGCAGCAGUGGGGAAUAUUGCACAAUGGGCGCAAGCCUGAUGCAGCGACGCCGCGUGGGGGAUGACGGCCUUCGGGUUGUAAACUCCUUUCGCUAGGGACGAAGCGCAAGUGACGGUACCUUGAGAAGAAGCACCGGCUAACUACGUG